UACAGAGGUCCCAAGCGUUGUUCGGAUUUAUUGGGCGUAAAGAGCGUGUAGGCGGCCAUACAGGUCCGUUGUGAAAACUGGAGGCUUAACCUCCAGACGUCGAUGGAAACCGUAUGGCUAGAGUCCGGAAGAGGAGAGUGGAAUUCCUGGUGUAGCGGUGAAAUGCGCAGAUAUCAGGAAGAACACCCGUGGCGAAGGCGGCUCUCUGGGACGGUACUGACGCUGAGACGCGAAAGCGUGGGGAGCGAACAGG
rnacentral:rRNA from 1 species